rnacentral:rRNA from 1 species
GCCCAGACUCCUACGGGAGGCUGCAGUCGAGAAUCAUUCGCAAUGGGCGCAAGCCUGACGAUGCGACGCCGUGUGUGUGAUGAAGGCCUUCGGGUCGUAAAGCACUUUCGCUUGGGAACAAGAGAAGCCGGAUAAUACCCGGCUAAUUUGAGGGUACCAGGUAAAGAG